CGGUAGGCUUAACACAUGCAAGUCGUGCGAGAAAGUAUCUUCGGAUAUGAGUAGAGCGGCGGACGGGUGAGUAACGCGUAGGAAUCUACCUAGUAGAAGGGGAUAGCCCGAGGAAACUCGGAUUAAUACCGUAUACCUCCUUAGGGAGAAAGAGGGCCUCUCUUGAAGCUUUCGCUAUUAGAUGAGCCUGCGUAAGAUUAGCUUGUUGGUGAGGUAAUGGCUCACCAAGGCUACGAUCUUUAGCUGGUCUGAGAGGACGAUCAGCCACAUUGGGACUGAGACACGGCCCAGACUCCUACGGGAGGCAGCAGUGGGGAAUAUUGGACAAUGGGCGCAAGCCUGAUCCAGCCAUACCGCGUGUGUGAAGAAGGCCUUCGGGUUGUAAAGCACUUUAAGCAGGGAGAAAAAGUUAUAAGUUAAUACCUUAUGACCGUGAUGUUACCUGCAGAAUAAGCACCGGCUAAUUCCGUGCCAGCAGCCGCGGUAAUACGGAAGGUGCAAGCGUUAAUCGGAAUUACUGGGCGUAAAGCGCGCGUAGGUGGUUUGUUAAGUUGGAUGUGAAAGCCCUGGGCUCAACCUAGGAACUGCAUCCAAAACUAAUUGACUAGAGUACGAUAGAGGGAGGUAGAAUUCAUAGUGUAGCGGUGGAAUGCGUAGAUAUUAUGAAGAAUACCAGUGGCGAAGGCGGCCUCCUGGAUCUGUACUGACACUGAGGUGCGAAAGCGUGGGUAGCGAACAGGAUUAGAUACCCUGGUAGUCCACGCCGUAAACGAUGACAACUAGCUGUUGGAAGACAAUGUUUUUCAGUGGCGCAGCUAACGUUUUAAGUUGUCCGCC
rnacentral:rRNA from 1 species